GCCGAGGUGGCGAAAUUGGUAGACGCGCAGCGUUCAGGACGCUGUGAGAUCACUCUCUUGGAGGUUCAAAUCCUCUCCUCGGCA
rnacentral:tRNA from 1 species